AUUGAACGCUGGCGGCAGGCCUAACACAUGCAAGUCGAGCGGAUGAAGGGAGCUUGCUCCUGGUUUCAGCGGCGGACGGGUGAGUAAUGCCUAUGAAUAUGCCUGGUAGUGGGGGAUAACGUCCGGAAACGGGCGCUAAUACCGCAUACGUCCUGAGGGAGAAAGUGGGGGAUCGUCGGACCUCACGCUCGCAGGUGGGCCUAGGUCGGAUUAGCUAGUUGGUGGGGUAAAGGCCUACCAAGGCGACGAUCCGUAACUGGUCUGAGAGAAUGAUCAGUCACACGGGAAGUGAGACACGGUCCAGACUCCUACGGGAGGCAGCAGUGGGGAAUAUUGGACAGUGGGCGAAAGCCUGAUCCAGCCAGGCCGCGUGUGUGAAGAAGGUCUUCGGAUUGUAAAGCAGGUUAAGUUGGGAGGAAGGGCAGUAAGUUAAUACCUUGCUGUUUUGACGUUACCAACAGAAUAAGCACCGGCUAACUUCGUG
rnacentral:rRNA from 1 species